AUUGAACGCUGGCGGCAUGCUUUACACAUGCAAGUCGAACGGCAGCGCGGGCUUCGGCCUGGCGGCGAGUGGCGAACGGGCGAGUAAUGCAUCGGAACGUGCCCAGUUGUGGGGGAUAGCCCGGCGAAAGCCGGAUUAAUACCGCAUAAGACCAGAGGGUGAAAGCGGGGGACCGAAAGGCCUUGCGCUAUUGGACCGGCCGAUGUCGGAUUAGCUAGUUGGUGGGGUAAAGGCUUACCAAGGCGACGAUCCGUAGCUGGUCUGAGAGGACGACCAGCCACACUGGAACUGAGACACGGCCCAGACUCCUACGGGAGGCAGCAGUGGGGAAUUUUGGACAAUGGGGGCAACCCUGAUCCAGCCAUGCCGCGUGGGGGAAGAAGGCCUUCGGGUUGUAAACCGCUUUUGUUCGGGAAGAAAACCUGUGGGCUAAUACCCCGGGGUGAUGACGGUACCGAAAGAAUAAGCACCGGCUAACUACGUG
rnacentral:rRNA from 1 species